rnacentral:tRNA from 1 species
GGGGUUGUGGCUCAGCGGUAGAGCAUUGCCUAGCAUGUGCAAGGCCCUGGGUUUGAUCCUCAGCACCACA